rnacentral:rRNA from 1 species
UACGAAGGGGGCUAGCGUUGCUCGGAAUUACUGGGCGUAAAGCGCACGUAGGCGGCUUCUUAAGUCGGUGGUGAAAUCCUGGAGCUCAACUCCAGAACUGCCUUCGAUACUGAGAAGCUCGAGUCCGGGAGAGGUGAGUGGAACUGCGAGUGUAGAGGUGAAAUUCGUAGAUAUUCGCAAGAACACCAGUGGCGAAGGCGGCUCACUGGCCCGGUACUGACGCUGAGACGCGAAAGCGUGGGGAGCAAACAGG